GGUAGGUGAAUGGUUGGACUGGAUGAUUUUGAAGAUCUUUUCCGACCUUGGUGACUCUGUGAUUCUAUGAUCCUCCAUGAUGACAGUGGUGUGGGGCUACUUCCAAGGUGACACUGGGUUGGAAGUCCUCCAAGCUGACACUGAGCAGUUUUUGAUCUCCAAGGCUCAGGAACAAUUCAAGACUUGGCAGAAAAAUGAGUUACUCCAACAAAAGGAGAUGUGGGGACUUUGCCCUGACUUUGAUCCAUCAACUACAGACAGGAACCCUUCCUACAUAUCUGAUAAAAUCCUCAUUUUGAUGAAAAGAAGUUGAAGAAGGGCGGAGAUCUGAAGCACCAGCUUUUUAAUGUGAAGUUGAAACCACAGAUAACUCAGAAUUUGUAAAUGACUGUUUAUAAGGGAAAAGACUUCUUUGUAAAGACAAAAAAGAUUGCAGCAUUCAACUCUUUGUUUUGUUCUUGCUUUCUUUUUAUUUUUUUCCUGGGAGUUGUAAUGUUCACCUGCAUUGCCAUACGGGAGCAAGAAGAAAUGAUUCAGAAGUUAAACACUGCUGUGAAGAGACCAUCAGUCUCACCAGCAUGUGCAAGCUCAUAACGCAGGCGUGUGUAAAUGCAUUUUUGUUUUGCAGGAGUUUGUCUCUGUGCCAGGGUGCUGCAAGAAGCAGCCCUGCAGAGGGAGGGUGCAAUGUGAGCAGAUCCCAGCAUUCAGUCAUCAAGUAUUAAUGGGCCAGGAAUGCUGCAGCUAUAAAAUAUGGAAAGAAAAUCAUUCUGUUUUGCAGAAGGACCUCGCCGAGGAUGACUCCACCAGCACAAUCCACCAAUCUAUCACCUCCCAGAAUCCCACAUGAGAAGGUGGGAUAAUUACUAUAAUUUUAAUGUACUCCAAGAUGAUUUAAAUACACUCGGUAACCUAAAAAUAUCCUGCUUUUCCGUGAAAGCUCUGACUUUCUGAGGUAAUGCUGCCCCAGAGCUGCUGAUGGUUCACAUGCCAGCCCCUUCUAUUGCCCCUCUGGGCUCUAUAAACCAUGUCACAGCUCUUUCCCCUUGGCCUCGUGGAAAGUCUUUGCCUCUGCAGUUUGCACAUCUCUCUUUUGGAAAAAAAAAAUAUAUAUAUAUUAUCUGGAGAUCAGACAGGGAACCAUGAAUCCCAUGGCUGUGCUGGAGCCCCAGCAGGACAGAGGAUGGAGAAGAGGACGUUAGAGACAGGGUGGGGACCUUGGAGCCUGGGCCAGAUGAAUGCUUCAGUAUGCUUGGAAGUGUCAGUGAAGCAAAUAGAGUGUUUCUAACACAGUCCUGAGCAUUGAAAAAUAGUGCUUAAAUUGCCUCCAGAACCGACGUGAAAUCUGAAGAUUUGGGAAUAUCUCUUGUGAUUGAUUGAGUGACUGAUAGAUUUGCUGAUACGUGUGCUAUACGUGUAUGCUAGGACUUGAUUCAGCUGUCCAAACACAGUUUCCUUGAGCCAAGCUGGAUGCUAGAAGCUCCCAGACUCCAGCUCUUGCUUCUGAAGAGCACUCAUCUCCCCUCACUUUGCCAGGCCUGUGGGAUGCUUCAGAUGCACAAAGGCAUCUCGGAUGGCACCAGGCUGUGCGCAUGGGCAGCCAAAUCCCACCCUCUGAGUCAGAAAGAUUGCAUUCUCAAGGUUUUCUCUACAGUCGCUGGGAUCAGAACUCUACCUUCAAAAUAAAUAACAUCCAAAGCCAAGAUUCCUGGAUGGUCAAUUAAUUUUGUGGGGGCUGGUUUGGAAAGAUUCUGAAACCCAAUCCUCUCUGUAAAACUGAGAGUCUUGGCAGCUGUGUCAAGAAGCAAAGUGUAUAUUUUCUCUAGAAUUAUUUCUACUAUAAUAAGAGAAAACAGCAAUAAGAAAGAGCCUCUUCUCCUUUUAUUUAUUUUCAGAGGUCUCCAAGGGUCUCUUGUUUGUCCCUCUUCCUGCUGAAAAGCAGAAAAACCCAAGAUGAGGUUGAGUCUCAUGUUUAUUUGCACAAGAGCAAAAUUAUUAGAUAGUCUCUCAUGACUGUAAAUGUUAAUCCAUGGGGUUUCAGUAACAUGGAUGUUUAUCAAACCUGUGCUAUGAUAACUCAUUGAAUGAAACAAGGUGAAAGCUGCUAACCCUGCAUUAAGAGCUGGGUUGGGUUUUGACCAAUAAUGGGAAGGCUUCUGGUUUGAACAUCCACUGCUCUUUGGUCUUGAGCAAAGAAAGACAUGCAAAUGGCCCACUCUGAACUCACAGGCUUUUCCAUUCAUUUCUAGGGUCUUCUGCAUCAAACUUGCAGCACAAGCUCACACAAAAGAAAACAAAGAAUUGCACAAACUCCAGCUGAUACAAAACUGAUGACCUUUGUUCUGCUCCUUGGUUAACCACCAUGAAAUUAUUAUUGCAGAGAUAAGCAUCAUAAAUUUUUGUCUGGCUUUUUUCCUAGAUCCUGUUUAACAAUAUUUCUUGGUAGUUUCUUAGUAGAUACUUUUUAGCCCUGGCACCAUUCCUGGAGUACUGGCAAUUAAUCAUAUUAACAUUUAUUUUUAAAAAUAGUGAGGUAUCCAGCCUCCCCAGCUGAAUGCUGCUGAAUACAGGGAGAGCCUGCAAUAGAGCAGAGCAGCAGGACAAGUCACACAGAUGGCAGAGACACCACUGAUCUCCCAACAUCCCUUCCAGUAUGGAUGUCUAGGACUUCUCACUCUGGUAAAUUCAUGCCCAUCAUUUCCAGACUUUGCAGAGCUUGUUCCAGGGGAUGUUCCUGCACUGAAGAGAUGCUUGAGACAUUCACUCUGCUGGAUUUAUUACCUAGGGGUACCAUGGUAUCCUGCUCCAAUGAGAACCCAAAUCUCUCAGCCCAAAUUUGGGAUGAAUAAGGGCAGAAACUAAGGCCGGGACAUGGCACAUGGAGGGCAACACAAUGACUGUGAGCUGUGACCCCAGAGGAAGCUCAUGGGGUUAAACCACUGCAGGAGGAAGCGCUGGGGACCAUGGAGAAUGAGGCAGUUAAGGGCAGGAAUAUGGGGAGCCUGAGCAAAGAAAUGAAGGGUCCUCAUCAGGUAUCCACAGAGAAUAGCAAAGGAAAUCAGCAUCCUGGGAAAUGGCUUCCAUCCAGGAGCCAGCUGCCAAGGAGAGAGCACUGCAGAACCAGGACUACCCUUCAGGCUCCUGAGACUGCUGGUUUAGGUGGAGAGAUCACCUUUCAUAUGACCCUUAACCUUGGUCUUCGUGUUCAGGCUUAGAUGGACUUUAGAAUCAUGGAAACAUUAAGGUUGGAAAAGACCUCUGAGAUCAUCUAGCCCAGCUGUCCACCUGUCACCAAUAUUACCCACUAAACCAUCUCCCUCAGCGCCACAUCUCCACAAUUCAUGGGCAGUGACUCCCCCACCUUCCUGGCCAGCCUUUUCCAGUGCAAUGCCACUCUUUUUGAGAAGAUAUUUUUCCUAAUAUCCAACCUGAACCUCCCCUGGUGCAACUUGAGGCCAUUCCCUCUCAUCCUAUUAAAGACAUUAAGCAUGAGCAGUUGUAGCUGUAAUGAAAAAAAGUAUGAAUAAUCUUGCA